CUACUUUUGUAUGGUAUGCCCUGAUGGGGGUCAUUUUCAUUCCUCACCUGCCUCAAAGGCAACAUAACCAAAUAUCAAUCAAUCUGGCAAAUAUCAAUGUGUAAAAACUGAAAUGGGCAAGCUCUAUAUUUACCCUUUAACUUUCCAAAACACUUUUAAAGCUGGACACAGGGUUUACUGUUGAUCUCGUGAGACAUCGCUGAACACAAAUAUGAGUGUUUUAGAG